rnacentral:rRNA from 1 species
AUUGAACGCUGGCGGCAUGCUUUACACAUGCAAGUCGAACGGUAACAGGCCGCAAGGUGCUGACGAGUGGCGAACGGGUGAGUAAUGCGUCGGAACGUGCCCAGUCGUGGGGGAUAACUACUCGAAAGAGUAGCUAAUACCGCAUACGAUCUAUGGAUGAAAGCGGGGGACCGUAAGGCCUCGCGCGAUUGGAGCGGCCGAUGUCAGAUUAGGUAGUUGGUGGGGUAAAGGCUCACCAAGCCAACGAUCUGUAGCUGGUCUGAGAGGACGACCAGCCACACUGGGACUGAGACACGGCCCAGACUCCUACGGGAGGCAGCAGUGGGGAAUUUUGGACAAUGGGCGCAAGCCUGAUCCAGCAAUGCCGCGUGCAGGAAGAAGGCCUUCGGGUUGUAAACUGCUUUUGUACGGAACGAAACGGCUCUGGUUAAUACCCGGGGCUAAUGACGGUACCGUAAGAAUAAGCACCGGCUAACUACGUG